rnacentral:rRNA from 1 species
UACAGAGGGGGCAAGCGUUGUUCGGAAUUACUGGGCGUAAAGGGCGCGUAGGCGGCCGCCUAAGUCAGACGUGAAAUCCCUCGGCUCAACCGGGGAACUGCGUCUGAUACUGGGUGGCUUGAAUCCGGGAGGGGGAUGCGGAAUUCCAGGUGUAGCGGUGAAAUGCGUAGAUAUCUGGAGGAACACCGGUGGCGAAGGCGGCUCUCUGGACCGAUACUGACGCUGAGGCGCGAAAGCGUGGGGAGCAAACAGG